AUUGAACGCUGGCGGCAGGCCUAACACAUGCAAGUCGAGCGGAUGAAGGGAGCUUGCUCCUGGAUUCAGCGGCGGACGGGUGAGUAAUGCCUAGGAAUCUGCCUGGUAGUGGGGGAUAACGUCCGGACACGGGCGCUAAUACCGCAUACGUCCUGAGGGAGAAAGUGGGGGAUCUUCGGACCUCACGCUAUCAGAUGAGCCUAGGUCGGAUUAGCUAGUUGGUGGGGUAAAGGCCUACCAAGGCGACGAUCCGUAACUGGUCUGAGAGGAUGAUCAGGCACACUGGAACUGAGACACGGUCCAGACUCCUACGGGAGGCAGCAGUGGGGAAUAUUGGACAAUGGGCGAAAGCCUGAUCCAGCCAUGCCGCGUGUGUGAAGAAGGUCUUCGGAUUGUAAAGCACUUUAAGUUGGGAGGAAGGGCAGUAAGUUAAUACCUUGCUGUUUUGACGUUACCAACAGAAUAAGCACCGGCUAACUUCGUG
rnacentral:rRNA from 1 species